AUCACCGAAGUCAAGCAUCAUUGGGCGCGGUCUGGUACUUGGGUGGGUGACCACCUGGGAACACCGCGUGCCGUU